ensembl:lncRNA
GGCACCGGUAUGAGGAGAGAAGGGGGGCAGGACUGGAUGGUGGGUUAAGGUUGGGGGUGCGGGAAAUGGGAUUGAAACCCCUCCUUGCCUGAGGAGGGGUCUGAACCGAGUGGGGUAGAGGCUGGAGUGGAAAAUGGGUUAGGGUAGAAAGGGAAGGGUGAACUGCAAGACAGUCACACAAAACGCAAUCAUCUCCUUGCACUAAAGUGGCUGCAAUCAGCUGGAGGUCCAGGCUUCAGUGGAUGAGGGUACAGGUACUCAACAGGUACAGGGGGCAGCCACGGCAUGUUGGUCAUGAACUGUUGAGAUGGAGAUGAAUAGCUGCUGGGGUAAAAACACAACAACCCAACUAUGGAAGGCUCCUCACAUACCCUCGAGGACACUGGGCAAACCGCACUCAAUGAGGGCACCUCAAGAGCCGAAAGAAACAUCCAAAAUUAUUGUUUUCAGCCUGCUAACACAAACCGAAGUGCUUUGUCCAAUGGGAAUCCAAACAGAAGCAUGAGAGGGAGAGAAAUAAAAAAAAGGAAGAAAAAUCUUUUCAUUUCAGACUGUUGAGGCACACUUGGUUGAGUGGAGCUUCAGUGGCACUGUAAACUGUCUCAAAACACAUUCACUUCAGUAAUUAUAAUCUUUUAAACGGCAGUAGAUCAAACAAGCAACAAGAAAAACUACUCUCGUUCAAUGUAACAAAAAGCACUGUAACAGCUUCAUAUAGCAGAAGCUUCUCCUGACCACUGGAGCCUAGCUGAUUCUACAAUGAACAGAAUAAACAAUAAUUGAAAGAAGAAGAACUUAUUUCUGUCCAAAGGACCCGCUGAGCAUUGGAACUUAAGAAAGGUGAAUCACACCACUACUCUCCUCCCACUUUUCAAGGCUUAUGGGGGAUGCCUCAUUUACACACUGGUUCCACUGUUCUAACAUACACAUUGCAGCUCUACUGGUCGAGUGAAUGUUGUCCUUCUCUGUGCUGAAUAUCAAAGUAGGAAGUACAGGAAUCUGUUCAUCUAAACCUGUAAUAAAGUUGUUCAGAUGCAACGAUGUGGCUUGUUCUUCACAAAGAAGGGCCUUAGAAAGAUUGCUUACUGCUCUGCCUUUAGUCCCAUUUUCAGCUCCAUCACUGGUAUUCAGUCCAAAGUUAUAAAACCAGAUUUUCCACAGUGUGCUUUCUCCAGCUGGGCCUCACCGGGUGGCAACAUUUCGCUCAUGGAAAUCUGUCGAUCUGUACCCCUCUGCUUUAUAGGACGGAGGAGUCUGUGCACAUUGGAGUCACCGAUGAUCACCGAUAUUUUCUUCACAUGAAGAUUCCAGUCCUGGAGUUUCCUCUGUGUGUUGGGGUCUCUCGUUGGAGUGCAGACCUGUCGUUCUGGUGAGGAUGGUGAGGAAGGGAGACAAGAGGAGGAGU